AUGUCCUCCUCCAACCAGGAGGAUCACGACGAGGACGCGCCCCUCGUCCGCGACCCGGCCGCCUCCUCCUCCUCCUCCCGCCACCACCGCCCCUCCGCCUCCUCCUCCUCCGCCGUCGGCGAGGUGCCCGUCUCGCAGUCGCUCAUCAAGGCGGCCAGCAACGUGUGCUUCUCCUUCUUCGUGCUCGCCGUGCUCGCCGUCACCGUCGUCGCCGUCACCUACCAGCCGCCCGACCCCUGGCUCCAGUCCUCCGCCGCCAUCACCACCUCCCUCGCCCGCGUCCUCCCCAACUCCUCCUUCCUCCUCCCCGACGACUCGCUCCUCCCCACCGGCGAGGACUUCCCCUCCCCCUCCCCCUCCUCCGACGCCGCCGACCAGGCCCAGGCCGCCGUUCCCUCGGGCAUCAACGCCACUGCGGGCACCUGCGACCCGGACGCCCCGCUCAACUGCACCGACCCGCGCGUGCUCGCCGCCGUCAAGGCCUUCAACGCCAAGGCCUUCUUCCGCAGGUCCAUCGUCUUCCUCAGCUACGAGGCGCCCGUGCGCGGGCCCAAGCCCGGCCAGUGCGACGUCGCCUGGCGCUUCCGGAACCGCCGCGAGAAGUCCUGGCGCCGCUACAGGGACUACCGCCGCUUCGAGCUCGCCCCCGCCGACGGGUGCGCGCUCGACAUCACCAAGGUCGGCAAGUUCAGGUCGGGGAAGAACGCGGCUCGCCCGCCGCGCCCCAAGGGCCCCAAGAAGCCGCGCGUCGCGGCGCCGCCGGUGGACGCGGAGAUCAACGACACGAUCCCCCUCGUUGGGUCGGAGGCGGAGUUCAGGAGAGGCAAGUACCUCUACUACAUGAGAGGCGGUGACCACUGCAAGAGCAUGAACCAGUUCAUCUGGAGCUUCCUCUGCGGGCUCGGCGAGGCCAAGUUCCUCAACCGGACGUUCGUGAUGGAUCUGAACAUGUGCUUGUCCGGGGCUCACACAGAGGACGGCAAGGAUGUGGAUGGCAAGGAUUUUAGGUACUAUUUUGAUUUCGAGCACCUCAAGGAGUCGGUGUCUCUGGUGGAGGAAGGGGACUUCUUGAAGGACUGGCGGCGCUGGGACAAGAAGAAGGGUCCGGGCCGGAUCUCGGUGCGGAAGGUGCCCACAUACAAGGUGACACCAAUGCAGCUGAAGAGGGACAAGAGCAACAUCAUUUGGAGGCAGUUUAAUGGGCAUGAGCCUGAGAACUACUGGUACAGGGUCUGCGAGGGGCGAGCUGCCAAGGUCAUCCAGAGGCCUUGGUAUGCUAUUUGGAAGUCCAAGAGGCUGAUGAACAUUGUGACUGAGAUCGCAGGCAGGAUGGAUUGGGACUACGAUGGUUUGCAUGUGGUCCGAGGGUGGAAGGCAAUGAACAAGAAGAUGUAUCCGAACUUGGACGCGGACACAUCACCCGACGCGAUCGUAGAUAAGGUGACCAAGCUUAUCAAGCCGUGGCGGAACCUCUACAUCGCAACCAAUGAGCCAUUCUACAACUACUUCGACAAGCUCAGGUCACACUACCAUGUGCAUUUGCUUGAUGAUUAUAAGGAGCUUUGGUCGAAUACGAGCGAGUGGUACAACGAGACGACAGCGAUCAAUAAUGGGAAGGACUUGCCGUUCGAUGCGUACAUGAAGGUGAUUGUGGACACUGAGGUAUUCUACAGAUCAAAGGCAAAGGUUGAAACGUUUAACAACCUGACGAGAGAUUGCAAAGAUGGAAUCAACACGUGCAAUUUGUGA
rnacentral:rRNA from 1 species